UGUAGGAGUGAGCCUGCUCGCGAUGGCGUCAUUUCAGUCAGCUUGUUCAGUGACUGGAAGAUUGCUAUCGCGAGCAGGCUCACUCCUACA
rnacentral:misc_RNA from 1 species